UUGGAUUCCACGGUUGCCAUA
rnacentral:siRNA from 1 species